CCUAUUAACUCCUAUAAGGCAUGUUUAUUUUGUUCUCUUCAUAACAUAGAAUUUUGAAACUUAGAAUUACUGUAUCUUCCUGAGUCACAUUUUCCCUCUUUAACUAAAAUGAAAACAUCAUUCUCCACAUGCCCCAGAAAAUAAUUGUUAGAAUUGCCUUUGGUUUCUGAACACUCUUACCUCAUUUAUCUAUUAAGAGGCCAGGUUUUAUAGAUUUCUUUUAGAGUUAUCUAAAAUACAAUUGUCCCUCCCAGUAUCUUCAUUUAUGAUACUAAUCCAGCUCAUAAUCACUUCAUUCAUGAUCUGUCUCCUAGUUCAUUUUAAUGUCUAAACAAAUAUUAGGAUACUAGUUACAGCUCUCUUAUCUUUCUGUAGCAACUGUUACUCCUCAAAAAUGCUAACUCUACUCUUGCUUAGAUAGUAUUUUCACUGAUAAGAGAAGAAUGUUAUAGUGAAGAGUCCUCAGUUUGACAAGAGGAUCUUCAGUGCUUCCAUUAAUAAUUCUUUAAGUAAUUUAUUUAACAUUUCUAAGACUAGACGUCUUCAACUUUAAAAUAUCAUUGGAAGAGAUAUUUAAUUCAUUCAUUCUUUUUCAAGCUUUUUAGCCCUUCAAACAUCCAUAUAUUCAAUAAAUAUUUAUUGUUUACUAAGUUCCAGGGACUCAACUAUAAGCAGGGAAUAAAAAAUGAAAAAAAAAAAUGCAUCCCUUACAAGGAGUGCAAGUCUUACCUUUCAUAUUUUUGUGUUUAUAUUUCAAAGCAAGUCAAACAGAAGAUAAAUGAAUGCAAAUAUAGUAGUUCAAGAAAAGUUUAUCAACAUACAAAAUCUAAAUAUAAGUGUGAAAAUUCAGGUUUCCUUAAAUAUCCAUUAAAACUUUGUCUAAAAACUGAGUAUUUUUCUGACAUGGCAAUUUAAAAAUUUCUAUUUAUUAGAUAAAAACAAUAAACAUGUACUAAUUACGGUUUCUCUAAAUUUACUUCCAUGGAAUAGUUUUGUAAAGAAUAUUAAAGAAGAAUAAUUGGGGGUGCUUAAUUUGAAGAUUUGGCAAUGACUAGGAAAAUCCUUGUUUUAAACAACUAAGUCAUUUUGGUCCUUGUCAAUUCACACUUUAAUUAAACUGACAUCAAUGAAGGUAAUACAGCAUAAAAACAACAUUACAGUGGAUUUAAUAUUUGCUAUCGUCUAUGCUCUUUAGGUUGGGAUAAUUAAACCUGGCAUAUUUAUUAAAGGGGAAAACACAUCAAUUUAAGUUUGCUCUUUAAUGAAUUUAUUUGGUAUUAAAAUAUUUAGCAUUAAAUAUUUAAAACAGCUUAUGAAUAUAUUUUAUUCCCUCAAAUAUGCUAAUGAAUAUUUAAUACUAAACAAAUGUCCUAUUUCAUUUCUUUUUUCUCUCUCUGUGUGUAUGUUUUAUUUCAUCUUGCCAAGACCCUGUGUUAAUGUUAAAAAUUGAUUUCAAAAGAUUCAUGAUAUCUAUGUCAUAAGAAACCUUAAAGUGGACAGAUUUUUUUUUCCGUAUAGGUGAAAUAGUAAAUCCUGGCUUCAGAGACUUUAAGACUACAUGAAAGGAGGAUUUAAAAGAGGCUCUAAUGUAUUUAUAGGCCAAAGACUGGGAAAGUCAUGUCCUCAAAUGCUCUGCCUUCUUCAGUGGAAAGUUUUCUUGCUUUUAAGGAUUAAGUACUCAUGUGAAAUCCUCAUUUCCCUUUACUAGACUCAAAUUCAUGCUCUCUUAAAGUAAGAGUCUGUAAACUAUCUGGACAAAAUCUAAUGAUAUUUCACUGAAGUUCAUGAAAUAAUCUUGUUUGAACUACAUAGAGAGCUCUUUGGUAACACCAUGCUUUGGGGGACAGUUCCAGCUAAUCACAUACAUGCUUUUCAUUAAGGUGGCCCUCUGUGAUUUUAUUCAUGAUUUCUAUCUUUUCCUUUUGGCCUCCAUACUUUAGACCCAGAAGAGUUUAACACGUGAUUUGUGCUUUUAUUAUUAUUGUUUGUAUUUUGUGAGUUGCUUCUAAAAUUGCAUAUUCAUUUUUCUUGAAUAUUAUUUUUCUCUUCUUAGUUAGGAAUUGUGUUCUAUUCUUUAAAUACAGACCCUGAAAACUUUCUAAGAAUACUCAUCCUGGGUAAAUGGUAAAUCAAGGCUAAAUGUCUUUGUUUUGCUUUAUGUUUUUCUUUAACAAAGUAAAUUUUAUUCCACCUUUAUUAAUUACUCAAAUAAAAUAAAAUCAUUUUUUCUUAUUUUUGAAACUCAGUUGUUUUCUUUAAAAUAAGUUAUUACAUAUUGUAUAUAUAAAGUAUUUUUCUCACUUUAAUCAUACUUACGCUGUAUGUUAUAAGACAUUUUUGUGUAUAUGGUCCAUUCACUGGUGAUUCAUGUACAAAAGAUCACCUAUAAAAAUCUUUAACUAAACUAUAUCUAAUUUUGCACUUGGAAGAAUAUAAAGAAUACAAUGGAUAUAAAGAACACUAAUGAUUGUAAUAGUAACAACCAUAGUAAAACUAUUAGUUUUCAAGGUUUUUGAAUUUUUAAAAUUUCUGUUCAUUAUCUGCUUAAUUGUAAAGAGGCUCAAGAAUUAAUUAUGCUCUGUCUUGAGGUACAUAGUUAUCAUGACUAUUGAAUACUUGCAGUGAUAUGGACACAAAUAAUAUUGAAUAUUCUAUACUGGUAUAUUUAUUUAUAUUAUAUAUUUACUUCUCCACUUCCUCCUGUUCUGUCUUGAACCCCCUCCAAUCAUCCUGUCUUUCUCACAGUCUACUAGUACUGCUUUUGUCAAGGUCAUUCAUGGUUUCCAUGCUGAUAAAUCCAGUGUUACUGGUGGAACAGCAGUUCCUUGGUUCUUGUUCCUCUGAGGGAAAGAAUUCAGUCAGGGAGACAUAAAGCAGUUUCAAACAGCAGGAGUUUUAUUAAGCAAAGCAAGCAAAAGUAUGCUCCUGGAGAGAAGAGAAUGGCUGUCUGGCUGGAAACCAGAAGCAGCCUCACAGUGGGGGUAGGGCUGUUUUUGCAGAGUAGUGGAAGGUCCCUCCCUAUGUCCUGCAUUAUUUGAUUGACAAAGUAAUUGUUAGCCUGAGGUUAUAUAACUUUUCUCCUACUGUUCAGGUGCUUACCCAUAAGCACCCAAGUGAAACCCCCGGUGGGGAGGGAAGGGCAAAAUAGCAAUACUAAUUUAUUAUAAAUAUGGCAUAAUGAACCCCGGUUAUUCUGGGUCACCUCUUGGUCUUGGUGCACCUUCACCAAUUGGUUCUGGUGGUUUGGAAAGUCCAGUUGUGGGUUUGUUUGUUUGAUUGUUUUUGCUUUUAAGUGCCGCACGUGUGGCAUAUGGAAGUUCCCAGGCUAAGGUCAAAUAGGAACUACACCACAGCCACAACAACGCAGGACCCGAGCUGGGUCCGUGAACUACACCACAACUCAUGGCAACACCAAACCCCCGAUGCACUGAGUGAGACCAGAGAUCCAAGCCUGAAUCCUCACUGAUACUAGUCGGAUUCAUUUCUGCUGUACCACAGUGGGAACUCCCAGUUGUAUUCUUUGACCUUCUACUAACUCCACUCGAGAUGGGUGAGGACCCAUUCAUGUCUGACUAGCUACCUAACAAGUUCUCACUGUUCAUCUUACGUGAUUUAUAAGCUGUGCUGAUGUGUUGAUUGCUCCUUCACUUAUAAGAAUUUGUCCCUGGACUUCCGGAACACUUUUCUCUUGGGUUUUGUCUCUUGAUGUGGCAACUCAGUUCCCCGACCAGGGAUUGAACCUGGGCCACAGUGGUGAAAGCAGUGAAUCCUAUCCACUAGACCACCAGGGAGUUCCCUUGAGAAUGUCUUUAAAACUGUUCUUUGCUAUUUGUGUUCUCUCUUAGUGAACUCGUGCAGUCUCAGGGCUUGAAAUACCAUUUGUAUUACGAAAAUUCCAGAUAUAUCUUCAGAUCUCUCACCCUAGAUUCUAAACAAAUACACAACUGCCUACUUAUUUCCAUUUGCAUUUUAAAUAGAUAUCUCAAACUUAACAUGUCUUAAUUUUCCCCUCAAACUUUGAUUUUCCUUUUCUCUUCCUCUUUGGUGUUAAUGGCAACUCCUUUUUUCCAGUUGUAAGUAUCAGAAACCUUGGGUUCCCCCUUUGGGGGUCUUCUUCCUACAUCCCAAAUACAUUUCUUAAGAAAAUACUGAUGGGAGUUCCCUUCGUGGCACAGUGGUUAACGAAUCCGACUAGGAACCAUGAGGUUGCGGGUUCAGUCCCUGCCCUUGCUCAGUGGGUUAACGAUCCGGCGUUGCCGUGAGCUGUGGUGUAGGUUGCAGACGCGGCUCGGAUCCUGUGUUGCUGUGGCUCUGGCGUGGGCUGGUGGCUACAGCUCCAACUCGACCCCUAGCCUGGGAACCUCCAUAUGCCAUGGGAGUGGCCCAAGAAAUAUCAAAAAGACCAAAAAAAAAAAAAUUUCUAAAAAAAAAAAAAAAAGAAAAUACUGGUGGAUCAUGCGAUAUAUCUAGAAUUCAACUACUUGUGCUACCACUAAAGUCCAAGCUAUUAUUAUACCUACCUGUAUUUCCGCAGAAGCUUCCAAAUAUUUGUCCACAAAAAGUCAGUUCUCAACACAGUAGCCUCAGGGAUUUUUUUUAAUCUAGGUAAUGUCACCCCUCUGUUCAAAAUCUUCCACAGGCAGUAAUUGCCGAAGAAGAGUACAAGCCAGUGUUUUAUAAAAGCCAACAAUACCUUACAUGAUAUGGAUCAUGUUAAUGCUUUUGCUUCAAAUUCUACUGCUUUCUCUCUUUUUUUUACUCUCUUCUAGACUCAUUGGCCUCUUAACCCUUAUGGAUCACAUGAACCAGGGUCCAGCCUUAGAGUCACUGUGCUUAGUUUCUGAUAUCUGGAAUGUUCCUUUCCACAUAUCUGCAAAUUUCACUCCCUUGAUUCAAAUUGUGAAGAAACUAUUUGUCUUAAUCUGUUCAGGCUGCUAUGAAUACCAUAUACUAGGUUGUUUAUAAACCACAGAAAUUUGUUUCUCUUAGUUCAAGAUGCUGGAAGUGUCGGCAUGGUCAGGUACUGGUGAGGGUCCUCUUUUGGAUUGCACACUACCUAUAUUGUGUUGUGUCCUCACUAGUCAGAGGAGGGUGAGAGAGCUCUCUAGGGUCUCUUUCAUAGAACUCUAUUCCAUCCAUGAGGGCUUCACUCUCAGGAUCUAAUCAUCCCUACAAUCCCACCUCUUAAUACCAUCACUUGUGGGGGUGAUGGUGGUGAGGAUUUUAACACAUCGAUUUUGAGAGAACAGAGAGUUUGAAUAUAGUGACCUGUUUGGAAGCCAUUGACAUUAUUUGGGCUUAAAAUAAAGCUGACUUAAGAAAAGGCAGCAGAAUUGAAAAGAGCAGAUUGGUUUUUAGAUUCUGUGCAACACAUCGUACAUCAUUUGUUAUUUUAGUCUAUAGGAUACAGAGAGUAUGGGAAAAAUCAAAUUAGCCUUCAUGAGAGUGUGGCCAUGUUGGUUUGUGCUUGUAAUGUGUAAACCUUGUGUCUGUUAUAGGGAUUGGCCCAAGGUUCACUCUCUAAUAAACAUUUGAUAAGUAAGUGACUAUACCAAUUUUAACAUACUCUUAAGUUUUCAUAAAAUGAAAUCGGUACAAUUAAGCCAUAAAUCAUAUAGAUAUGCUCUUGUAUCAGCAUGACUCUAAACAAGAUCUCAGAAUAGUAGGUACUUAAUAGUCCUUUAUGAUCAAAGAUGAAAAUGCUUUACUAAUUUUCUUUUUUGAUUUAGUAUCAUAAGCAAUCGGGAGCCAUAGUGUUGAAGAACAUCUUAAUCGCCUAUAACACUGGAAAUUAUCAUACCCCUUAGAAUGCUUUGUUGAAAGGACUGUAAAUGUGACCCUGACAUUAUUUUCCCUAAUGAUUCUGGAAUUGAUUACCCACUCUCUCUACACAGCAGAUUCCUUCGUUUUCUAUUCACAGAGACUUUUGCACCAGCAUGUUUUUCUGCUCUAUGUUACAGGCAGGGAUGCCAGGCUGAGCUCUUGGUUUCUACCUGAAUGCUUUGAUGGAGGAAGAUAUUGGCUACACUGAUGUUAGGGCAUUUUCAGCACCUUCCAUUUUCCUUCCUUUCCUUGGUUUUAAUUAGCAUUGGUGAUUUAAAGGCUGACUACAUUUUUCAUCCAAGUUUUUCUUUCAAGUCACUGAUCAAUAACUCGUUAAUGAAGCUAGAAAAAGAGAAUGAAGUAUUCUUAAAUGUCCACUACCACUCCCUAAAGCAAACAAACAAGGCAGUUGUUGCACUGAGGAAAUCAUUUAGCUAGCUAAAUCCUGCAGCUGCCAUGAGGAAGGAUAAUUGAUUUAGUGAGAAGGGUGCUAACAUCCCUAAAUAUUAAAUUCAUUGCAUGAUAUUUAAAAGAUGGCUUUAAUGGCUAUUAAUAUUUGCAUUAUCAUUUUCAAUUUUACUUUCAUGAAAUAUUAUA
rnacentral:tRNA from 1 species